rnacentral:lncRNA from 1 species
CCAGAGCAUGACCCACUAAGGACUACACUAGACUCCAGAGACUAGCUUCUACUCAAUCACUGCUCGUUACCUGAAAACAUAGUUGUAAGGGUGAGUUCCUCAACCAAUAUAAUAAGCAUUAUAAAACAUCAUGUCAUGUUAAGUAAUUUAACACAUUAAUCACCCUAAUCACAUAACACAUUCAGUACGGUACAUCAACUCAAACAUCAUAUUCAAUACCGAUGCAAAUCAUACUCAUACUCAAU